rnacentral:lncRNA from 1 species
GUCGACGAAAAUAAUCCAUAACCAAUCUGUAGAUGAAAAUUUGGGUGAGUUUAUUCUGAGCUUAAAUCUUAGGAUUAUAACCCGGGAGAGUCUUUUCACAAAGGAACAGAGCACUCCAAAGAAGUGGGGGUAUAAGGGUGGUUAUAUACCCUCAAAGAGGGUGUUUCACAUAUGAUUGAAAUGUCCCUCCCACAAUAGUCACAAGAUUGCCCUGUCGGCACAGCACUUGAUGGACACAGCAGGUAGUGGGUCUGCUAUCUUGGUGGGCGUAGCAGGAGGCAAGUCUAUUGUCUCCAGCUGGGUGGUCACAGGUGAGAGCAGCAAUCAGCUUCUAGCCUAAGGAAAGAUACUUAAUCCUUAAGGAGACACCAACUUUGGGAGGGGGAGGGAAGUUGCACCUUUAUCUCAAGGGCCUUUUGCUCUUGCCAUAGGGAAUCUCUAAAGCAGAUAUACAAUGCAUGCUCAAUGGCCUCGGUCAGGCCCUUUUGGAAAGACAAGGUCAGGCCGAAUUAGGUUUACACCAAAUGGCUUCCUCAUAUAUUCCAAUAUAUCCUAUUACUUGCCAUUUUUGUUUGUUUAUCUAUUUCCCUGUGUCUUGAACCCCAUUUUUGCUCACUUUUCCCAGAGUUUUAUUUUAUCACUUGUCCUCUGUAGUUUAUUCAUGCAAUAUCCAUUGGUAUUUUUCCUCUGUAUGCUUAGAUUUUACAUGUCCUAAAAAACAAACAAACAAAUAGAAAAACACCUUCCUUACCCCUUCUAGCUAUUGUACUAACUCUGUCUUUCAUUUCUGAGGAAAUUUCUGUAAUCAGAUUCUCUCUGUAUACUUUUAACUUGAAUUUUUUCCUCACCUACUUUACCAUUUGGCAGCCGGUGAUCAGCCAUCGAAAUGAUGCGGGGUCGGUGAGCCGGGGAGUCGAAAGAAAGAUUUCUUCGACUCUCAAGAUCUGGCAGUAGUGCUCUUUUAUUUAGAGAAUAGUGUAGCAUGGGGACAGGACCCAUGGGCAGUCAGAGCUUCUGCUGCUGCUUCUGCUGCCCCCGCUGGCAUGGGGACAGGACCCACGGGCAGGCAGAGCUGGUGCCUGGGGACAAUACCCACGGGCAGUCAGAGCUCCUGCUGCUGCCCGGAGUUGAGGGUUAGGGCUAAAUUUAAGGCAUAGGUAUGUGAGUCAUCUCUUUACAAGACAAAGAAAAAAAAGUUAAAAUGGUACCAGUGCCAGUAGGGUCCGGCCAUUGGGCAGUCCCACAACUUUUAGAUAAGAAUCAAACCGGAUUGAGUAAAUGGCAGAAGUCACAGCUCAAAUAUUAUCUUCAGCUAAAGACAAAGGAGGAUUUUGGGGUGGGGGGUCAGUUACAUGAGUUUGCCAGACAGUAAACAACUUAAGUUCUUGCCUUCCCCAUUAAGAGUUUCCAGAGAUAAGGCCAUACCCCCUUCCUCCUGGCGCAGAGAGGGAGGCAUGGAGAUUUCCUUCACAAAUGCAACUGUCUCUGAUCAAAGGUCAAGCAAAUUCCACUCCUCGGAGCCUGGUUCUCAUCUGCAGUUUUAAAAUUAAACAGCCUAAAAAUCCUCAUCAUAAACUGUUUUAAAAUUAAGCAGCCUAAAAAUCCUCAUCAACACUACUAAUGAAACCACACUUUCAAGACCAUCAACAACCUCUUAAUGAACAAACCCAACAACCUUUCUUAGUUUACCUUUUCCCUGACUGCCCUCUACUACUUAGCAUUUAACUAUUUUUUCCCUCUUUAUCUCUUUUACCUCAUUUGUAGGACAUUGCCCUCAAUGGUGGGCAGAUCCUUUCCCUAACUUUAUGACUAAUCUUUCUAGUCUUUUAUUGGUUCCCUGAUAGUCCAUCUCUAUGGCUUCUCAAGUUUUUCUCCAUGACCUUUUAUUGUCAUUCAUCCUCUACACAUUCUCCAUUGUUAAUUUUCUCUAUUGCUGUUGCUUCUACCUCAGGACUCAUUUCUGUGGAAACAGAUCUCACAGUCCCAAUGCCCUUCCCACACUUCAGCCAAUGAUUCAUUACCACCAUAUUUUCCCAAAUUCUACAUAUCUAGAAUCAAACUCACUAUCUUCACUCAAAUGUCUCCACCUCCUACAUGCUUUUGCUUGUCGUGGCUCCAGAAUAUUUCCAGUUCCCCAUUUAUUAAGUGUAUUCAUUCAAUAAAUACUUAUUAAGCUCAUAAUGUGUCAGUUUAAGGAUCCGAGCAAAAAACCAAAAACAUUCAAAAUGUUUUAAACAGAGGAAACAAUACAGGAAAUUGGUUACACAGGUGAGGGAAAGACUGAGAAGCCAAACAGAGGAUGGUGAGGUAACACAUAGAUUAGCAAUAGCAAAUCUCGCCUAGAAAAAUGAGGAGAGGAGAUUUUGACAGAAGCUCAAGGUUUAAGUUCACCAGAAGAAGCUGCAACCGUGGAAGAAGAUAUAGCAACAGAAAAGAUGCAGCUGCUGCCAGAGAUGCUGCUGAAGGCAAGAAGAAAGAAUGAGAAAUGCCCUGGAUUCUCACUUCUUCUUCUUCUUCAGUCUCCUCUAGUGACUCCUACUGGUCAAACCAAUCCAGAAGCCAGUAGUCAUUAUGGAAAAUGCAAGCCAAAGAAAUCACCCCUCCCCUCACAGCCCCAGGGGAGAGUAUACAGAGCAGAGUCAGAGAAGAGUGAAGAAUGGAUCUGAGAGCAAAAUAGACCAAGACAGAUCACUCUGCACCCAAUCUUACCCUCCUUCCGUAUUUUACUUUCAUGCAAUACUGUCAAGCUUCCACCUAAUAUGGUACAACUAUUCUUUGUAGAAAGUUCUUCUCAUAUUCUCCUCACAAAAAGGAGACGCAAAGUCCCGCCAGUCAUUUUUGUCUCAGUAAUUCAGGAACUCCAGGUGAUGCGCAAUCAUCCACAUCUGUUUAGGGUAUGGCUUUUCAUUGGUCUAGUGAUUUAUGAACUAAACCAUGAAGUUAAGCACCACCAACUUCCCUUUACAAAAAAGUAGAAAAAGAAAAAGGAGAGGGUAAUAAAUAAUAUUCAUAGCUCCUGCUGUCCCCAUUUCUGUAACUGGUGCCAAGACCAUAGCUAAUAUUUUUAAAAAUAGCAGUUUUAUUGAGAUAUAAUUCACACGUUAUACGAUUCACCCAUUAGAGACAAUUCACUGGUUUUUAGUAUAUUCGCAGCGAGGUACAACUGUCAGCACAAUCAGUUUCAGAACAUUUUCAUCACCCCCAAAAGAAACCCUGAUUUCAUUAACAGUCACCCCGUUUCCUUCCACCUCUUGAUGAAGAUCUCCUAUUUCUUUGAAGAGCAAUUCAAGACCCGGUCACCCCAGCUUUCAGGCACUACUCCUGCCUCUGAAAUUGGAAACAUUUACUGUCUGAAUACUCAUUUGGAUUCCUGUUAGUGCUAUUCAUCUUUUUAUGUAUAUGUUCUGUCUCCCCAAUUAGAUUAUAAGUCUCUUAAGAACAAGACCUUCGUCUUGAUUGAAGAGAUGGAAAACAUAUUUAGAAUUGUAGCUGCCUCAUUGAAUUUAAUCCUCUUUUAUUUGUACUUUGAUUAACUCAUAUUACUGAGAACUUUUCCCCUAACAGAGAUCUUUUUCCUUAAUCAUUUCCCCCAAGAAUAUAAUUCAAAACUGAUGGAAUAGAUUUAACCAGCAAAUUUAAGGAGUUUGUUAAAACAUGAAAAUGGAAGUGAUGUGAAAAACACAUCAGAAAUGAUUUGUGAUUCUCAUUUAUUGCCAAUAUGCGUUUAAGAUGUGCUGGGAAUGCUAGCGUUUCUUUUAUUCCACGUUACAACAGUGUCCCUUCGCUGUGGUAUAAAACAAAGGGUGACACUAACCAAUAGAGGGAAUAAAAUAUAUUCAUUUCCUCUAAUACACGUUACAUUUACAAAUCAAACAUGGUGUUAGAUGUAGUGCGCUUGUUAAUCAAUUCUUUCAAACGUAUAAAUAUUUAUACGUGGUUUCAAAUAGAUGCAAAGAUACCGUAAGUCUGUUUCAUGGAAUACUUGAAUAAUUUACACUUUUUAACAAUUUUCUUAUUUUUUUUAUAAAUAUCAGAACUUUGGGUAAGUAAACUUCCUACCUGUACCUGCCUAUCCUUUUCUAACCUUCCGCUUCCUUUCCUUCUUUCAUUCUUUCCUUUUCCUUCCUCUGUUCACAGGUUCACAAGUCACAAGUCGCUUUCCAUCUUCUGUUCUUCUUCCCUCUUAUUUCUUCCAUUUCCCUUAAGAAGACAUUGAUAAAACUUAUAUUUGUUAGGAACAAUCUUGAAAAGCCAAGAAAAUUAAAUGUGGAAGAGGAAGUAAGUCCAUAUAAAAUUAGUAUCAAGUUCUUCUCAUUCACAUCUUAUGGUCACCACUAAAAUAGUAACAAGUCAUAUAUCCUGUUUUAUAUUAAUCUCUGAAAUAGAUCCUAACCUUGAAUAGUAUUUUGAAAUACAUAAAAACUUGCAAAUUAGACAUCAGUUAACAUUUCUACAGUACUUAGUUUGUGUCUAGAAUUGUGUAACUGUUGGGGAUGUUUCAUAAUCCAGUAGAGAAAGAUUUGUAAAUGAAAGAACUACAAGGCAGUGAGAAGAAGUAUAAAGUACCGUGGGAGCAUUGAACAUGGUCGUUCAUUUCACAGGUCUUUCUGAAUGCCAUGUUUGUGCCAGGUACUAUUCCAGGUGCUGGGGAUACAAAGUACUUUCCCUCAAGCGUGUCACAGUUAAGACGAAAUUACACCACACUAAGGUAAUGUACAGUUAAAGGUGAACACUGAAUGCAAUGGAAACCAGCGGAUGGAAUUGAGACAGAGAGGGAGAUUUCAGGAGUGUUAGGAAAACUAUUGAAAAGGUUUGCUCCAGAGUUGAAUCUUUAAUGAUGAGUAGGAGUAGAAUAUACUCCACCUGAUAAGAAAAUAAGUUGUGCAGAGAUGGGAAGGAUAAGAAGAAAGCAUGCCAUGCAGAAAGGAUGGCACAUACCUUCACAGAGAAGUAAACAGUAUGAUGCCUUAAAGGACUAGAAAUUGGCAUCUCUGAAUUUCAAGGUGCUCUUGAGAAAUUUGCAGGAGCUAAGACUCUAAGGGAGACUGAGAAACAAGAAAGAAGCACCAUGCUAAGUGAUGCGGGGUCGGUGAGCCGAGGAGUCGAAAGAAAGAUUUCUUAGACUCUCAAGAUCUGGCAGUAGUGCUCUUUUAUUUAGAGAAUAGUGUGGAAUAGCAUGGGGACAGGACCCAUGGGCAGUCAGAGCUUCUGCUGCCCCCGCUGGUACGGGGACAGAGCCCAUGGGCAGGCAGAGCUGGUGCGUGGGGACAGGACCCACGGGCAGUCAGAGCUCCUGCUGCUGCCCCGACUUGAGGGUUAGGACUAAAUUUAAGGCAUAGGUAUGUGAGUCAUCUCUUUACAAGACAAAGAAUAUGUAAAAAAGUUAAAAUGGUAGAUAAGAAUCAAACCGGAUUGAGUAAAUGGCAGAAGUCACCGCUUGAAUUUUAUCCUCAGCUAAAGACAAAGGAGGAUUUGUGGGGGGGAGGGUCAGUCACAUGAGGUUGCCAGACAGUAACCAACUUAAGUUCUUGCCUCUGGCAUUGACCAAGAGCCUCUAGAGAUAAGACCAUCCCCCCCUCUUCCUGGCACAGAGAGGGAGGCAUCUUCACAGAUAGAGGUUUCCCUUAGAAAUGUAAAUGUUUCCCAACAAAGAGGCAAACAAAUUCCACUCCUUGGAGCCUGAAUCUCAUCUGUAGUUUUAAAACUAACCAGCCUAAAAAUCCUCAUCAUAAGCCAUUUUAAAAUUAAGCAGCCUAAAAAUCCUCAUCACUAAGGACCUC